rnacentral:rRNA from 1 species
AUGAACGCUAGCUACAGGCUUAACACAUGCAAGUCGAGGGGAAACGACAUCGAAAGCUUGCUUUUGAUGGGCGUCGACCGGCGCACGGGUGAGUAACGCGUAUCCAACCUGCCCAUCACUUGGGAAUAACCUUGCGAAAGUAAGACUAAUACCCAAUGAUAUCCCACGAAGGCAUCGGAAUGGGAUUAAAGAUUUAUCGGUGAUGGAUGGGGAUGCGUCUGAUUAGCUUGUUGGCGGGGUAACGGCCCACCAAGGCAACGAUCAGUAGGGGUUCUGAGAGGAAGGUCCCCCACAUUGGAACUGAGACACGGUCCAAACUCCUACGGGAGGCAGCAGUGAGGAAUAGUGGUCAAUGGGCGAGAGCCUGAACCAGCCAAGUAGCGUGCAGGAAGACGGCCCUAUGGGUUGUAAACUGCUUUUAUAAGGGAAUAAAGUGGGUCACGUGUGACUUUUUGCAUGUACCUUAUGAAUAAGGACCGGCUAAUUCCGUG